UGCAUCGAUGAAGAACGCAGCGAAACGCGAUAGGUAAUGUGAAUUGCAGAAUUCCGUGAAUCAUCGAAUCUUUGAACGCACCUUGCGCUCCAUGGCAUUCCGUGGAGCAUGCCUGUUUGAGUGCCGCGAAAUCUCCCACCCCUAGCGGUUGCCGCAAGGCGCCGCCGGGCGGCGGGGUUGGUUGGGUGCCGCUGCCUGGGCUUUGGCCCAGGCUCGCCCGAAAUGCAUGAGCGCUUAGCACUCGCACCGUCUCGAGGGAAGGCGGCGGAGCUGGCAUCUGCGCAUGGCAUGAUACGUCAUUUGCUGUGUGGCAGCCCAGCGACCCGAGAGUGUGUGUGCGCUACUACACGCCCUUUCAUUUCUGGUCUCAAAUCAGGUAGGAUCACCCGCNGAACUUAAGCAUAUCAAUAAGCGGAGGA
rnacentral:rRNA from 1 species